GUGGGGCUGCGCGGUGCGUUAGGCCGCAUAUAGCCCCGGGGCCGAUUCCUACCUCUUGGGAGCCGUCUCUGUCGAAGCCGUGGUUUCGACACAUGGCGCCCACCUGCUACGGCGGGCCACGGAGGGUUUGCACGCCGACGGCCGAGGCGGCUUCACU
rnacentral:other from 1 species